GUAGACAUGCAGGUAUGUGCGCUCUGCGCUGGCUGAUGUAACAUCAUUUUUAUUAUCCUUUACAUCUACUGCAGUCCGAUAGGGAGCUAGCCUACUAAAAUUAGUUUCCUGCCAUUGAUCAAGCCCCACCUAUUCAGCUGAUGGGCCAGAGGAGAAACCCGAUCACCUAACAAGAAAGAAGCAGAGGAGAGAGGAAGGAGAAAAUGAGAGAAAUGGAAACGUUGUGAUGAAUCACUUGACCUCUGAUCCAUAGGCAGUGAGGGAAGCGUGUGUAUGGGUUUCUGAGCCAUUCAACCAAAGCCAAACCUGGACGUCCAUGAAAGGAUAACACACGAUUUCCGGAGCAACUGGGUACAGCAUCUCUUGAGUAUAGACUGAUGAGAGACUGUGACCAGUACAUUCAUCUUGUGUUCUCAAAGACUACAGAGCUGAACCUGGGAAAUAGAGGAAACUGGAGUCUGAGGGAGACUGGGAGACGGAGGCCACAGCAGAGCAAGGAGGAACAGGGUAGAUGACAGGCCAGGGAUGAGCUUCAAACAGCGGCGUGUAUAUGUGUAUACGUAACAGGCCUGUGGAGUGUUUGUGUGUCAAGGACGUUAGCGGGGUGGACAGCUGAUGGACACCAGCGUGGAGGAGAUGUGAUAGGACAGAAGAACACGCGUGUGUUUAUCUGGUGGAGAGAGGCUCAUGGUGCUGAAUGCUGUCAUCAAUGGCUCUGAAACUUUUGUGGUUGAGCAGGACCUGCAAGGAAAGAUGAUGGGGGCAUUUGUUGGGGGGAAAAAAGGUUUCAGGGAUUUUACUCAAAUAUAAAGAUCUGAAAUGGUGUGAGCACUGAGGAUGAGGAGCCCAGAGCUGAAUCCUGGAAGUAGUGCCAUGGAUGAGUCCCUCCAUCUCUCCACCUGGCCUUACGAGACCCUCUUUCGCUCCACCUGCCCUUAUUGCCUCAGAUUGUGAAGCGCAGCGUAGCAACAAGCUCUGGCACGAAGGCACAGUCACCUGUGGUGAAUUCAGCAGAAUAAAGCUGCAGAAUGGGAACCGCUGAGUUGAGAUGGCAGUAGGGUUUGGGGUUCAGUGCCUGUAGUUUGAAUAAAGCAUUGUUUCAUGUGUUGUUGA